rnacentral:lncRNA from 1 species
AUUGGCUUACACUCGCCACAAGCUACAUCAGAGUCACAGCAGUACAAUACAUAAACAUCAUGAACAAGAGCAGGGUCCGACUACGGAUGAAAAACAAACGAGAAAAGAAGAACGACGUCCAUCCUUGCUAUCCCAGGCUGCCGGCCAGGAACCCAUCCUAGAUCGAUGAAGAAGAAGAAGCAACUCCAAAUGAACAAUCAACGCGCU